UAGGGAAUCUUCGGCAAUGGGGGCAACCCUGACCGAGCAACGCCGCGUGAGUGAAGAAGGUUUUCGGAUCGUAAAGCUCUGUUGUAAGUCAAGAACGGGUGUGAGAGUGGAAAGUUCACACUGUGACGGUAGCUUACCAGAAAGGGACGGCUAACUACGUGCCAGCAGCCGCGGUAAUACGUAGGUCCCGAGCGUUGUCCGGAUUUAUUGGGCGUAAAGCGAGCGCAGGCGGUUUGAUAAGUCUGAAGUUAAAGGCUGUGGCUCAACCAUAGUUCGCUUUGGAAACCGUCAAACUUGAGUGCAGAAGGGGAGAGUGGAAUUCCAUGUGUAGCGGUGAAAUGCGUAGAUAUAUGGAGGAACACCGGUGGCGAAAGCGGCUCUCUGGUCUGUAACUGACGCUGAGGCUCGAAAGCGUGGGGAGCGAACAGGAUUAGAUACCCUGGUAGUCCACGCCGUAAACGAUGAGUGCUAGGUGUUGGAUCCUUUCCGGGAUUCAGUGCCGCAGCUAACGCAUUAAGCACUCCGCCUGGGGAGUACGACCGCAAGGUUGAAAC
rnacentral:rRNA from 1 species